GCCUUGGUAACAACUUGAAAACAGGCUGAGUCCUCAAGAGGAUGGCCAUUCCAGGAAGCCGAGAGUGGGAGCCCCGCUGGUGGAGAUGCCAGGCAUCAGGCCACGGAGAAAGAAGGUCCUCUCCAGAUGCGGCCCCUUGAAUUUGGACUUACCAGCCUUUAGAAGCGUGAGCUUCAUAAACCUCCACUGCUCAUCCCUUGCCCAAUCCAUGGUAUCCUACUACACAGCAGGAAGCCGACUCAAGAACUCACCCACAACCCAGGGAGACUGAGAUCACACGAGAUUGGUAGCAUGAAAGUAUUCUGUGAAGUGUGAAGCAAUAAACAGAGAGGAAAAUUAUCAUUCUUAUUCGGAUUCUUCUUCCUACUGCCAGGAAGUCUUCACGGAUCACGGACACCCAGACCACAUAAGAAAUCCUCACGACGUGCUCCGGAGCAUCCCAUGAUUCCCCAGUUUCAGGAGUUCGCAUGUCACAGUGUUCCUGCUUACUGAAUUGUCUUCCCCUCUGUGCCAUGAACACUGGGAAGAGAAAGUAUUUGUCUGGUUUUCAAUAUCAUCAGCACUCCGUGCCACUUGGAAUGGGACUAAUUGGUAGAGAGAACAGAAGGAAGGAUCUGGAUGAUGUCUGCCAGCGCAAGCAGUGGGGACCCAGCAGGCGCCUCGCGCUCUGAACACCCACUCUGUAAACAGGGACUGAUGGAUCUGACAGCCAGCCGGCACCUUGAUGUCUGGGAGCCAUGUCCAGGCUGGUCUAGUUGGCCAAGUAGGUGACCUUUUGCUGCUCCAAGUGACGCAGCUUGCUGGACCAGACAGAAUGAGAUGUCAAGGAGUGGUCUCUUGAAACCAAAGAGGUGGGUAAAGGGGAAUGACUCAAACUCAUCCCUCUCUACCUCUAACAGCUUCUAGGGCCCCAAAUGCAGAGCGCCUUGGUCAACUGCCAACACCAGAAGAGAAGUGUCAUUAAGUCAGACACCAGUGAAUACAUAUGUUGGUGCCUGAUAACCACCAGUGGCCAGAUGAACAAAUCUGCUCUGGCCUGAAGAGAAUCGACAACGGCUCUGAGAUGAUGGGAAGAUAGGUAGAUGAUAGAUAGAUAGAUAGAUAGAUAGAUAGAUAGAUAGAUAGAUAGAUAGAUAGGUAGAUAGAUAGAUAGAUAGAAAGAACAUGUUAUAAGUUAAAAAGAACUGUAAUACUUAUUAAUGGGCUGUGGGAAAUUAGCCAAUUUAUUGGCUAUAAAACUUGAACUUCGAUCUCAAAAAAAGACCAAUCUCCUACCAUCUCUCCCCACUUUUACAAUUAUUUUCAUUUUUCCCAUCCCAGAGGCCCGCGGGGACCCCUCUUUGGAGCCUUCACAUGAGGGAGAUGGAACCCUUUUCCUUCAGAGUGGCUCUGCCCCAUCUUACCUGUCCUCACUUCCCCCUGGACCUGUCCUUCCUCAGAUUCUAACAAGCACCGCUCUUCCCUCAGUCCCCCAGUGAAGUCCCCUAAGCUGGCUCAUUCCUGUCCCAGAGGAUGAUUUUCUACAGAGGCCUGGAGGGGUCAGGGUGGUAGGGACUGCAGCUUCCACACAGCAUCGCCAGCUUUGAAUGUAUUCCGAGAAUCACACCCACCACCUGCUGCACAUCCUCCUCCACAGCCCCUCAGAAACCCCACCUGCCUCUACAGCCUCAAUCAAGAAAAAAAAAAAAAGAAAACUUCAAAAACAGUUGAUAGAACAGAAAAUUCUGAUUUAAAAAACAAGAUAUAACAAAA